ensembl:lncRNA
CACACACAACGGUUAAUGACGGUGCAUGUGAGUAGGCUUGCUCGUAGGAAACAUUGAAACAGCAUUAUUGUUAUUAUUAUUAUUAUUAUUAUUAAUAAUAAUAAUAAUGGUAUUAUUAUUAUUAUUAUUUUAUACAAAAAUGUGUAGCAGUCUAAAUGUGCUAGUAAGUGGGCAAAAGGAGUUUAAAAUGCUUUACAACUUUUUGGUGAGGGAACACAUAUUCUCCAAAACUGAUAUCGAUACCACCUCUCUCAACCCAUUUAAUAUUUUUUUUAUAUAUCAGGAGAAGAGGGAAAGAGAGGGAAAUGGCCAAGGAGGCGACAGAGGGUCAGGUGACCAGAAAGAGAGAGAAGAAGAAGACAGAGGAGGCAACAGAGCAAUUGAAGGAGAGAGAGGAGGCGACAGAGGGACAGGUGACCAGAGAGAGAGAGAAGAAGGAGACAGAGGAGGUGACAGAGCAAUUGAAGGAGAGCGAGGAGGAGACAGAGGGUCAGGUGACCAGAGAGAGAGAGAAGAAGAAGGAGA